UACAGAGGGGGCAAGCGUUGCUCGGAAUUACUGGGCGUAAAGGGCGCGUAGGCGGCCUGUUAAGUCAGACGUGAAAUCCCUCGGCUUAACCGGGGAACUGCGUCUGAUACUGGAUGGCUUGAAUCCGGGAGAGGGAUGCGGAAUUCCAGGUGUAGCGGUGAAAUGCGUAGAUAUCUGGAGGAACACCGGUGGCGAAGGCGGCAUUCUGGACUGCAACUGACACUGAGAGACGAAAGCCAGGGGAGCAAACGGG
rnacentral:rRNA from 1 species